rnacentral:rRNA from 1 species
UAAGGAGGAUCCGAGCGUUAUCCGGAUUUAUUGGGUUUAAAGGGUGCGUAGGCGGCCUUUUAAGUCAGCGGUGAAAGUCUGUGGCUCAACCAUAGAAUUGCCGUUGAAACUGGGGAUCUAGAGUGUGCGAGAGGUAUGCGGAAUGCGUGGUGUAGCGGUGAAAUGCAUAGAUAUCACACAGAACACCGAUUGCGAAGGCAUCUGACGAAUCGGAGAUUGACGCUGAUGCACGAAAGUGUGGGUAUCGAACAGG